rnacentral:pre_miRNA from 1 species
AGUGGAAUUGCUGGGUCAUAUGGUAACUCUAGGUUUAGCUUUUUAAGGACUUACCAAACUGUUUUCCAAAGUGGCUGCACCAUUUCACACUCCCACCGGCAAU